rnacentral:rRNA from 1 species
CCCUUAGAUGUUCUGGGCCACACACGCGCUACACUGAAGGAGGCAGCGUGUACUCCUGGAUCGAAAGAUUUGGGUAACCCGCGAAUCUCCUUCGUGCUAGGGAUUGAGGUUUGCAAUUAUCCUUCAUGAACGAGGAAUUCCCAGUAAGUGCAAGUCAUAAGCUUGCGCUGACUACGUCCCUGCCCUUUGUACACACCGCCCGUCGCUACUACCGAUUGAAUGAUUUAGUGAGGACUUCGGACUGGGACCGAUGCGGCUUUCGGGCUGCGUCGGUAUUCUGGAAAGAUGUCCAAACUGUAUCAUUUAGAGGAAGUAAAAGUCGUANCA